rnacentral:rRNA from 1 species
GAGGGGCAGCAUAAUGGAUAGCAAUAUCUAUGGUGGCGACCGGCGCACGGGUGCGUAACGCGUAUGCAACCUACCUUUAACAGGGGGAUAACACUGAGAAAUUGGUACUAAUACCCCAUAAUAUCAUAGAAGGCAUCUUUUAUGGUUGAAAAUUCCGAUGGUUAGAGAUGGGCAUGCGUUGUAUUAGCUAGUUGGUGGGGUAACGGCUCACCAAGGCGACGAUACAUAGGGGGACUGAGAGGUUAACCCCCCACACUGGUACUGAGACACGGACCAGACUCCUACGGGAGGCAGCAGUGAGGAAUAUUGGUCAAUGGACGCAAGUCUGAACCAGCCAUGCCGCGUGCAGGAAGACGGCUCUAUGAGUUGUAAACUGCUUUUGUACGAGGGUAAACUCACCUACGUGUAGGUGACUGAAAGUAUCGUACGAAUAAGGAUCGGCUAACUCCGUGCCAGCAGCCGCGGUAAUACGGAGGAUUCAAGCGUUAUCCGGAUUUAUUGGGUUUAAAGGGUGCGUAGGCGGUUUGAUAAGUUAGAGGUGAAAUCCCGGGGCUUAACUCCGGAACUGCCUCUAAUACUGUUAGACUAGAGAGUAGUUGCGGUAGGCGGAAUGUAUGGUGUAGCGGUGAAAUGCUUAGAGAUCAUACAGAACACCGAUUGCGAAGGCAGCUUACCAAACUAUAUCUGACGUUGAGGCACGAAAGCGUGGGGAGCAAACAGGAUUAGAUACCCUGGUAGUCCACGCAGUAAACGAUGAUAACUCGUUGUCGGCGAUACACAGUCGGUGACUAAGCGAAAGCGAUAAGUUAUCCACCUGGGGAGUACGUUCGCAAGUAUGAAACUCAAAGGAAUUGACGGGGG